GACGAACGCUGGCGGCGUGCCUAAUACAUGCAAGUCGAACGCAGUGGGGACGGGUGAGUAACACGUGGGUAACCUCCCAUCAGAGGGGAUAACACUUGGAAACAGGUGCUAAACCGAUACUGAUGGAUGGACACGCGGGGCAUUAGCUAGUUGGUGAGGUAACGGACCACCAAGGCCACGAUGCAUAGCGGACAAAGGAGGGUGAUCGGAAACACAGGGCGGCAUUAACGGCCCCAAACCCUGGGGCAGGAAGAAGUAGGUAAUUGUCGGCAAGGGACGAAUUUCCCACAGGGCAACCCCGCGUAAGUGAAAAAGGUUUUCGAACCGUAAAACACUGACGUUAGAGAAUCGGUAACUAACCGAAAAGCAAAAGCUAACUACGUGCCAGCAGCCGCGGUAAUAC
rnacentral:rRNA from 1 species